rnacentral:lncRNA from 1 species
GCAAAUCUGACAUGGGGGUAAAAUUGUUCAUCAGGUCAAGAUCUAUCUGCCCUGAAAUUUUCAGAUGAAUCGGACAUUCUGUUGUUGGGCUACUGCCCCUGAAAUGGUAAUUUUAAGGAAAUUUUGCUGUUUUUGGUUAUUAUCUUGAAUAAUAUUAUAGAUAGAGAUAAACUGUAAACAGCAAUAAUGUUCAGCAAAGUAAGAUCUACAAAUAAGUCAACAUGACCAAAAUGGUCAGUUGACCACUUUAGGAGUUAUUGCCCUUUAUAGUCAAUUUUUAACCAUUUUUCGUAAAUCUUAGUAAUCUUUUAGAAAAAUCUUCUCCUCUGAAACUACUGGGCCAAAUUUAACCAAACUUAGCCAUAAUUGGGGUAUCUAGUUAAAAAAAAUGUGUCCAGUAACUCGGCCAACAAACCAAGAUGGCCGCCAUGGCUAAAAAUAGAACAUGGGGGUAAAAUGCAGUUUUUGGCUUAUAACUCAAAAACCAAAGCAUUAAGAGCAAAACUUACA